GGGUGAUUAGCUCAGUGGAUUAGAGCACAGGCCUCCGGAGCCUGGGGUCGGGGGUUCGAAUCCCCCAUCGCCCGCCA
rnacentral:tRNA from 1 species